rnacentral:lncRNA from 1 species
CGUAACAUUUCUCCUUCAUCUAGAAAAAAACUAAUGAUAAACAAAUCGUAACAUUUCUCCUUCAUCUAGGCUCUAGAAAGACAUCAACAUCAUACAUAUUACUAUAUUCUUACAACAACCACGCAUUCAAAAUAAGCCCUCAACUAAAUCCAAGCACCUUGAGGUAACCCUAAAAACUCCUAUCGAAAUAAUAGACAAUUGGUUGAGACAUGAGCAUCAUCAUAGUUAUAGGGUCUAUUGAUGAUACUCUGAACCAAUUGAAAGGAACCCACAUGAGAGGUUUUCCUUACCAUUAUAUAUAUUAACCAUAGCCAUAGGAGCCCUUCACUAUAUAAGAUCCAAAAUAAUCCACAAGUCUAAAAGCCAUCGGAUUGCAAACCACGGAUCCCCAAAAUAUCAAUCAUCGAAGGGCAGAACUGUAGCCCAAUAUAAUUUACUCACUACGAUUCCCUAAAAGGGCCUCCAAUCAUCAGAUUGACAACUUGCUUCCUUUUGUUCAGAACCAAUUCAGAAAGUCAGUCUCCUGUUCAUACCUAUGUCACCAACGGUCAGCAUCUCUUGCCUUAUUCCUAUAGGCAAAACAAAGACCGGCACGACACAGAAAAAGUGGCUAAGCCCUUCCCCAAGCCAAAUUAGGGAACGAUUUAAAACAAAGGAAGAAGGAAUAUUGGAAAACAAGACACCGCAAGAAAACCCCUAGGUAUAGAUUCACAGAAGACUUAUUGGUGCAUCUUGUCAGAGUAAUUAAAGAAAAGAGAGUAAAACGAAAGAAGCAAACCACUAAGCCGAACCACAUCAGCUUAAAUGACUACAUUUGGAAUUACUUAUUUAGUCUGUGGUCAGAUGCCUAGAAUUCUUAAAAUCCAAUCACUCAAUCAGCUUGAGUUUUUAGAGAUUCUUUUUUUUUUUUUUUAAAGUUCGUCUUUCUUUCCUCCAUGAGAAGGUGGCAUCUAAUGAUGACUAAAGGAUGCAAAUAAAAACAGCGCAUCCAAUGACUCAAACCAACAACAGGAGGGAAAUCUAAGACCAGACAAGUUGGAGAAAAGUUAACAAUUUUAAUACAAGUAAAAUAGCUCCAGUCAGUGAGAAAGGAGAGAGAUAUGCACCUUUCCUCGCGCUUGGGCGGGGGGAUUGGUGGUGGUUAACAAAAACAACAGAAAAAGAAAAAAAAAGGAAAGAGGAAAGAAAGGAGGUAAUGUUAUUUUAAUGGAUGGGAUGUCUUGCUUGGAGGCAAUGGCGUUUGGGUUAUUUAAGCUAUAGGUACCUGUCAAGCUCGGUCUCCAUAAUAAUGUUGCCGGGGAGCGAGGACAAGACCAGACGGUGCUGAUGUGCCGUCCCUUUCAUCUCUAUUUUAAAAAAUAAUAAUAAUAAGGAAGAAGAAGAAAAGGAAUCAGGCAUCACAAACUCCACCGCCCCCUCCGUUCUGAUCUAAAAACAACAAAAAGUUAAGUGGACUCUCAAGCAAACCGUACAAGCUACCUCUUCUGCUGCUGCAGCUGCUACCCCUUUGUGCACAGUAACUACCAGUUCGGUCUACCUGGGGUCAAAACAAGCGACAUUGAUUUCUUUCCUACCAUCUUCCACAAAAUUUUUAUGACUCUGAUGCUUUCAUGGCAUUUAGUUUCCUCUCUCUCUCUCUCUCCGUGUGUGUGUGAGGUGCAUUGGCAGUACUGUUUCUCUAGACUUCUUAUUGUGCGUGAGAGGGGAGAAGAGAGAGAAGGAAUUUACUGUUGUGCUUGUGAUGGGCAAGAGGACAAAUGGAAAAAAGAGACGCCGGUUAAUAAGAGGGAAGCUUGCACCCAAGCCAGACUAAAAAACGAAGGAAAAAAGAAGCGUCCUCAUUUCUUGGUUGGAACUAGCAGGGAAUGAGAUGAAGAAAGUAGUAUUCUGGAAAACGAUGCAGAGAUGGAUAGGAUAGGUUGGAUGUAAAGAAAAGGGAGCAAUUGUGGAAAUUGUGAUCUAUGGAGAGAUAAGUCAGGCUACUAUACAGAGGUCGUUUUCAAUACGUAGUGAUGUAAUAUCACAUAGAAUAAUAUGUAUGAGAGAGCAACACACACACAGAGAGAGAGAGAAGAAGGAGCAAAAGCCCAAUCUCUUGGGCGCCAGGGAACUGCAGUGCUGGGAUAAGAGGAGGGAUGGGGAGGAGUCCAGGGCUGGGAGGAGAGUCAGGGGGACGCCACACGUGCGUCAAAGUCCCCACGUAGCGAGGCCAGAGAGCCAGGGAGGGGGGUGGUGCGGGCUGCUGAGCCCGGGGGACCAGUGACUGAUUCGUUAAUUUAUUCAAACCAAUCGGCCUCUCUCGUCAGCAGCACCAUAAACGAAAAUCCUUCCAAAGAGGUGGAAGAAUCGGGACAGUAGACAAGGAUUUUAAUAGGAGGAGGCAAAGUUUUGGUACGAUGAAGAAGAGGAGGAGGAGGAGGAGGAGGAGGAGGAGGAAUUUGUGUUGUUAACUGAAAAAUACUGUUCAGAAGGGGAAGAGAAUAUGAACUAUGUGCUGAUUGGUUCACCAUGGAAUAUUAUGGGAGGAGACUGCAUUCUUUUAUUACGAGGAAGAAGAGCACUGAAUUCAUGAGUUUCUGGGUUAGUUUUAAUUCUUAAUAAUAAGAAGAAACAAGAGAAAGAAGUUGAAUUAGUACAAGAUCACACUAAACUAUGAGAGAUAGAAAGGACGAAGCUAGACAAGGAAAGAGAAGUUGUAUCACACCUUACCUGCAAUGCACACACACAGAGAGAGAGAGAGAGAGAGAGAGAGAGAGAGAGAGAGAGAAUAGGNN